CUUAAAUUUUCCUUACCCAACCAUAAUAACUCUCAUAAGAACUUCUUUAAAGCUUGUAGUUGCAAUUUGAGAAGAGAAUUACAAGAAGAAAGUGGAGCUAAAGAUAGGGUUUUGAGGAUUAAAGAGAGUUGAAAAGAAUAUCGGGAAGGAACCCGAGGAAACGAGUCGAGGCUAAGGGACGACUCGCUUGAGAUAAGAGCAAGGAGAAAGCAGCAGAGUGAGCUGCGGGAUUAACAAGAACUUCUUGAUCCCUUUUGUACGGGUAUUGUUUUAUAC